CGGAGUGUAGCUCAGAUUGGUAGAGCACUGCCUUCGGGAGGCAGGGGUCGCAGGUUCAAUUCCUGUCACUCCGACCA
rnacentral:tRNA from 3 species